rnacentral:rRNA from 1 species
UGGGGAAUAUUGCACAAUGGGCGCAAGCCUGAUGCAGCCAUGCCGCGUGUAUGAAGAAGGCCUUCGGGCUGUAAAGUACUUUCAGUCGGGAGGAAGGUGGUAAGGUUAAUAACCUUAUCAAUUGACGUUACCGACAGAAGAAGCACCGGCUAACUCCGUGCCAGCAGCCGCGGUAAUACGGAGGGUGCAAGCGUUAAUCGGAAUUACUGGGCGUAAAGCGCACGCAGGCGGUUGAUUGAGUCAGAUGUGAAAUCCCCGGGCUUAACCCGGGAAUUGCAUCUGAUACUGGUCAGCUAGAGUCUUGUAGAGGGGGGUAGAAUUCCAUGUGUAGCGGUGAAAUGCGUAGAGAUGUGGAGGAAUGCCGGUGGCGAAGGCAGCCCCCUGGACAAAGACUGACGAUCAGGUGCGAAAGCGUGGGGAGCAAACAGG